rnacentral:rRNA from 1 species
GACGAACGCUGGCGGCGUGCUUAACACAUGCAAGUCGAACGGAAGGGCCCUGCUUUUGUGGGGUGCUCGAGUGGCGAACGGGUGAGUAACACGUGAGUAACCUGCCCUUGACUUUGGGAUAACUUCAGGAAACUGGGGCUAAUACCGGAUAGGAGCUCCUGCUGCAUGGUGGGGGUUGGAAAGUUUCGGCGGUUGGGGAUGGACUCGCGGCUUAUCAGCUUGUUGGUGGGGUAGUGGCUUACCAAGGCUUUGACGGGUAGCCGGCCUGAGAGGGUGACCGGCCACAUUGGGACUGAGAUACGGCCCAGACUCCUACGGGAGGCAGCAGUGGGGAAUAUUGCACAAUGGGCGGAAGCCUGAUGCAGCAACGCCGCGUGCGGGAUGACGGCCUUCGGGUUGUAAACCGCGUUCGCCUGUGACGAAGCGUGAGUGACGGUAAUGGGUAAAGAAGCACCGGCUAACUACGUG